rnacentral:lncRNA from 1 species
GCUUCAUAUAUAUUCAUUUGGUCCUUCAGAGAAUUCAGGAUUGCUACAAUCUCCAUUUUAGAGAUAUCGAAAAUGAGACAAGAGGCUAAAAUGGAUGCCUGUCCAAGUCAUACAGGUUGUAAGUGGCAGACCUGGGAAUCAAAUCCAGUCAGGUGAACACCAGAGCCUGUACAACCACUGCCCAUUCUGCCCUAAGAGGAGACAGGAGGAAGUAGCAGGACCCCUGAUGACAGUGAUGCUUGGACUAGACUUUAGAGACAAUUCAAACUCACCUGUGACCACCCAGCUCGAGACAACAGACCUGCCACCCUGCUGUGUUCACCGAGACAGCAGACCUACCUGCUGUUUCCAUCAAUCGCUGUGCCGACAGAGCAGUCUCUCAACUAUUGUAAAAGGGACAUUUCAAUCCUAUGUGAAACAUCCUCUCUGGGGGUAUAUAACCACUCUGUGCACCCCACUUCUUUGGUGCCCUUUCUUCCUUCGGGAACAAAGGCCCCAAGCCAUGGC